rnacentral:rRNA from 1 species
UACAGAGGCCUCGAGCGUUAGGCGGAAUCACUGGGCCUAAAGCGUGUGUAGGUGGAUGCCUAAGUACCUUGUGAAAUCCCACGGCUUAACCGUGGAACUGCUUGGUAUACUGGGUGUCUUGAGCCACUCAGGGGCUACCGGAACAAAUGGUGGAGCGGUGAAAUGCGUAGAUAUCAUUUGGAACGCCAAUGGUGAAGACAGCUCGCUGGGGGUGUCCUGACGCUGAGGCGCGAAAGCCAGGGGAGCGAACGGG